AUUUUUCUAGUAUUAAUUUAGUACAAGUGACUUCCAAUCACUUAGUCUUGGUUCAACCCCAAGGAAAAAU
rnacentral:tRNA from 1 species